GCUCAUUCCUCACUCAUCCCUCCAAACCCUCCCUGACCCCCGCCUGCCGAGGGCGCCCGGCACACGCCGCAGCUCGGGCACCCUCCCCCUAGGGAGCCCGAGGAGGAAGACGACCAAUGUCACCUGCCCCGGCCACGCGAGUAACUUCUGAAAAGUUCUCAGGCAACUAGGUCAAAAGGAAACUCACCCGCGGGCACGCGCGCCCCGUCCCACUGCCACCUGCGCCCGGCUUUGGGGCGCCUGGACAUCUGGGGAGCCCGCAGCCUUCGGCCCCGCCCCGGAGGCACCGCCCCCUCCCCCGCCUCGAGCCUCCCCGCGGACUGUGACCGGGCCGCGACGCCGCUGCUCCGCGCUCGGCUCCUAAGAUCGCGGAGCCGAGCUUCGUGCAGAGCCGGGUCCUAGAGAUGCCCGCUUCUCCACGCCGAGCAGUCCCGAGCUGCAGACUGGGUCCCGCAGAAAGUUAGCUCAGACUGGAGACCAGCCAGGGAUGAGGAGAGAAGAAAAGGUCAUCCUAGGGCCUGGCCUUCACCUCUGCCCUCGGGCCAGAGCCCUUACUCCGAACAAUACCUAAAGUAGAGAUUGCUGGAACCAGCUUCCCCACCCCCAUCCCUCCUUAAAAAAAAAAAAAAAAAGAAUCUGGUUUCUCCUAGGCCGGACCCUGGCUACUUACAGCGGAUUGCUGCCUCCUCUGCUCCCGCCAAGACCUUCCUUAGGCUCGCAGCCAACUCCCUGUACUACUAGGCAGAAGAAAGUGUGUUCUAGCAGUCAACUUCUCUCUCAGGAGCCCACCCGAGUCCUCGUCAGCCCACGGCAGGGCCAGUUCGACCCAGUACCUAGAGCGCUUUUCUCUCCCGUUCUGACUGCACCGCCUGGAACGUUUCACCCUCACUCUGCUCACCUGAGGGAAUCCCAACAACGUCUAGGAUGGCUCAGCAAGGACUGCCUCCUCCUCCUGGAAGCCUUCGUGGAAGCUCGACCCUCCCCCUCCCAGCCCCGCUCCCGCUGCAUUCUGGGUUCUUCUGACUGUCCUAGAUGAAUGCUGUCAGUGGCUAGUCCAACCCUCAGGAUUCCAUUCUCCCCUCCCCCGGGUGUAGUAGGGAGGUGACCUUCUGUCCUGCCUAAAUGGCACCGAGGGUGGGGAGGAUGACGGGCCCUUUCUUCAGUCUUCAGUCCUGGAUGUACAUGUGUACAGAGGACAAGCAGAGUGGGGGUGGGGGAGUCAGCCUGCCCUUUAUCUGUGGUAAUCUGGGGUCUGAGAUCCUCAACACACAGCUUUGGUACACAGAAGCUGCCGGGUGGCUGAGUCUGCUCAGGAAAUAGUCUACAGGGCUAGCUGAAGAAGCAUGUAGCUCAAUGGUAGGGCACUUUCUCAGCAUGUGAAAAGCUCUAAGUUUAAACCCCAUUUUGAGAACAAAACAUGGCAGAUCCGUGGUGGUGCAGGCCUUUAACUCCAGCAUUCAGGAGGCAGAGGCUGGGGAACCUGAGUUCCGGGCAGCCUGGUCUACAGAGCAAGUUCCAGGACGGCCAGGGCUACACAGAGAAACUCGAAAACAAAACAUGACCUGGCAUGGUGUUGCACACUUUUAAUCCCAACACUCAAGAGGCAGAGGCAGGGGGAUCUCUGUGAGUUCAAGGUCUACAUAGUGACUUCCAAGAAAGCCAGGGCUACGUAUCUCAAAAAAACAAAAACAAACAAAAAAACCAAACCAACAACAACAGAACACCACACACCAGCGAACUGCGCAUCCGUCGUCUAUGGAGGUGACAUAGAUUUCAGGGCUGUCCCUCCAGGCCCCACAUUUCCCUACCACCAGAUUCAGCCCUUGCUUCCUUUGCCUGCAGAUUUACCGUUCUUGAUGACCCAACAAUCUUGACACCACCGCUCUUCCUCCUUCACCAGCAGAGGGGUUUUAGAGACUGGGUCUCAUGUACCCCAGACUGGCCUUCAUAGAUUUUUUUUUUUUUUUUUGGGUUUUGG
rnacentral:lncRNA from 1 species